CUGCUGCCUCCCGUAGGAGUUUGGACCGUGUCUCAGUUCCAAUGUGGGGGACCUUCCUCUCAGAACCCCUACGCAUCGUCGGCUUGGUGGGCCGUUGCCCCACCAACUACCUAAUGCGCCGCAUGCCCAUCCGUGACCGGAGUCGCCCCCUUUGGCCGGAAAGGGAUGUCCCUUCCCGGCGUCAUGCUGUAUUAGGCGGGAUUUCUCCCGGUUAUCCAUCUGUCACGGCCAGGUUGCAUACGUGUUACUCACCCGUGCGCCGGUCGCCGGCGG
rnacentral:rRNA from 1 species